rnacentral:tRNA from 1 species
UACACAUUAGUUUAAUUGGCAAAACAUUGUGCUACGGACACAAAGAUUACAAGUUCAAAUCCUGUAUGUGUAU